rnacentral:rRNA from 1 species
ACUCCUGCGGGAGGCAGCAGUGGGGAAUUUUGGACAAUGGGCGAAAGCCUGAUCCAGCAAUGCCGCGUGUGUGAAGAAGGCCUUCGGGUUGUAAAGCACUUUUGUCCGGAAAGAAAUCCUUGGCUCUAAUACAGUCGGGGGAUGACGGUACCGGAAGAAUAAGCACCGGCUAACUACGUGCCAGCAGCCGCGGUAAUACGUAGGGUGCGAGCGUUAAUCGGAAUUACUGGGCGUAAAGCGUGCGCAGGCGGUUUGCUAAGACCGAUGUGAAAUCCCCGGGCUCAACCUGGGAACUGCAUUGGUGACUGGCAGGCUAGAGUAUGGCAGAGGGGGGUAGAAUUCCACGUGUAGCAGUGAAAUGCGUAGAGAUGUGGAGGAAUACCGAUGGCGAAGGCAGCCCCCUGGGCCAAUACUGACGCUCAUGCACGAAAGCGUGGGGAGCAAACAGGAUUAGAAACCCCUGUAGUCCCA